rnacentral:lncRNA from 1 species
GCCCUUUUUGGAAUGGAGACAGCAGAGAGCUCGUCUGAGUUCAAGAGGGAAAGAUAUGGUGGCCAAGCAUGAGGUGCUCCACAAAGGCCGUGGGGGAUUUGAAGCACGAGGGCACAGGUGCUAAACUACCCCAGAGUCAGCAAGGUCAGCUUCAUUUUACUGAGCUGUCACUCAUACUGAAGGGGCCUGCCCUCCUGUGUCCGGUAUGCAAAGCAUCUUUCCUGGCCACUCCGGUAAUCUUUGCAGCCUCAGCCUCAUCAACUCUGCUUCAUGCUGUUCAUGUCAAUGGAAAACAAUUAGAUAACGCAAUCAACAGGCUGGAGAGAAGAAGUUUGGUUUGGAGUGAGAAUCUCUGUGCAGUUAGCAAAAUACAGUUACACUAAUUUAUAUUGCUUGUAUUCCAUCUGCUUUCUGGUUUAAAACGUCUUGGAUUGCCUCAGACUCUGUAUAUGUAAUAUUUUCCAUUUACAAAAAUGUCCUGCAUCACCCAUCAGCGCCCCCCCCCCGCUCUUUCUUUCUUUCUUUCUUUCUUUCUUUCUUUCUUUCUUUCUUUCUUUCUUUCUUUCUUUCUUUCUUUCUUUUUAAAGAGAGCUUUUGAAAACUGA